AUUGAACGCUGGCGGCAGGCCUAACACAUGCAAGUCGAACGGUAGCACAGAGAGCUUGCUCUCGGGUGACGAGUGGCGGACGGGUGAGUAACGUCUGGGAAACUGCCCGAUGGAGGGGGAUAACUACUGGAAACGGUAGCUAAUACCGCAUAACGUCGCAAGACCAAAGUGGGGGACCUUCGGGCCUCACACCAUCGGAUGUGCCCAGAUGGGAUUAGCUAGUAGGUGGGGUAAUGGCUCACCUAGGCGACGAUCCCUAGCUGGUCUGAGAGGAUGACCAGCCACACUGGAACUGAGACACGGUCCAGACUCCUACGGGAGGCAGCAGUGGGGAAUAUUGCACAAUGGGCGCAAGCCUGAUGCAGCCAUGCCGCGUGUAUGAAGAAGGCCUUCGGGUUGUAAAGUACUUUCAGCGGGGAGGAAGGCGGUGAAGUUAAUAGCUUCACCGAUUGACGUUACCCGCAGAAGAAGCACCGGCUAACUCCGUGCCAGCCGCCGCAUAAGAC
rnacentral:rRNA from 1 species